rnacentral:rRNA from 1 species
CAAGAGCGUAUGUAAAAGUUGUUGCAGUUAAAAAGCUCGUAGUUGAACCUUGGGUUUGGUUGGCCGGUCCGCUUUUUUGCGAGUACUGGAUUCAACCGAGCCUUUCCUUCUGGCUAACCAGUCGUUUCGGCGGCUGGCGAACCAGGAUUUUUACUUUGAGAAAAUUAGAGUGUUCAAAGCAGGCAUUAGCUUGAAUAUAUUAGCAUGGAAUAAUAGAAUAGGACGUUAUGGUUCUAUUUUGUUGGUUUCUAGGGCCAUCGUAAUGAUUAAUAGGGACGGUCGGGGGCAUCAGUAUUCAGUUGUCAGAGGUGAAAUUCUUGGAUUUACUGAAGACUAACUACUGCGAAAGCAUUUGCCAAGGACGUUUUCAUUAA